UUGAAACUCUGGUUCCCAUAUGAUCACCAAAGUUAAGCAACGUUGAAACUGGUCAGUACGUGGAUGGGUGACCGCUUGUGAAUACCAGGUGCU